UUGAACGUAAAUUGAUUAUGUUUGGAUACACUUUAAUAGAAGUGAUUCUGAUGAGUUGAUGUUGUUCGGAUAG
rnacentral:pre_miRNA from 1 species